UCCCGUGUGGCUCAGUUGGUAGAGCAUGGUGUUUGCAACGCCAGGGUUGUGGGUUCGAUUCCCACAGGGGGUC
rnacentral:tRNA from 1 species